rnacentral:rRNA from 1 species
AUUGAACGCUGGCGGCAUGCUUUACACAUGCAAGUCGAACGGUAACAGGCCGCAAGGUGCUGACGAGUGGCGCACGGGUGGGUAAUGCAUCGGAACGUGCCCAGUCGUGGGGGAUAACUACUCGAAAGAGUAGCUAAUACCGCAUACGAUCUAUGGAUGAAAGCGGGGGACCGUAAGGCCUCGCGCGAUUGGGGCGGCCGAUGUCAGAUUCGGUAGUUGGUGGGGUAAAGGCUCACCAAGCCAACGAGCUGUAGCUGGUCUGAGAGGACAACCAGCCACACUGGGACUGAGACACGGCCCAGACUCCUACGGGAGGCAGCAGUGGGGAAUUUUGGACAAUGGGCGCAAGCCUGAUCCAGCAAUGCCGCGUGCAGGAAGAAGGCCUUCGGGUUGUAAACUGCUUUUGUACGGAACGAAACGGCUCUGGUUAAUACCUGGGGUUAAUGACGGUACCGUAAGAAUAAGCACCGGCUAACUACGUG